AUUGAACGCUGGCGGCAGGCCUAACACAUGCAAGUCGAACGAGUGGCGGACGGGUGAGUAAUGUCUGUGACACUGCCCGAUGGAGGGGGAUAACUACUGGAAACGGUAGCUAAUACCGCAUACCAUCGGAUGUGCCCAGAUGGGAUUAGCUAGUAGGUGGGGUAAUGGCUCACCUAGGCGACGAUCCCUAGCUGGUCUGAGAGGAUGACCAGCCACACUGGAAUUGAGACACGGUCCGGACUCCUACGGGAGGCAGCGGUGGGGAAUGUUGCACAAGGGACGCAGGCCUAAUGCGGCCCUGCCGAGUAGAUGAAGAGGGCCUUGGGGUUGUAAAGUACUUUCAGCGAGAAGGCGUUACUCGAAGAAGAAGCACCGGCUAACUCCGUGCCAGCAGCCGCGGUAAUUC
rnacentral:rRNA from 1 species